ensembl:lncRNA
AAAAUUUAGAAUGAGAUUGUGCCUUUUUUUAAAGCCAACUUUUAUCAAAUACCCCCAGCAAAACGUUAUAUCACACACUACCACCAUGCCUUCUGCUUUUGUAAAAGAGAGAUACAGAAUAAGCAAAUCUACACAUAUAUAUUUUAUUCAAAUAUAUAUUGAAUUCAAAUAUUAUAUUUCAAUAUGGUCAUUUGAUACAAAUCAGAAAAAUCCUACUAUUUUUAAUGGUAAAGAUAUGUAUAUAUUCUAGCGGGCAUAUUAUUACCAGUAUAAUUCAGCCUUUGCCUUCUCACCCUUGCCUUCUCUUGACCGUUGAGCUGCGAUGACAAAGGCCACCGGUGUCAGAAUUUUAUAUUUAUAUUGUAAAAACAAAAAAAAAAGUGUAUUCAGGGGAGAGAGGGGUGUGACGGGACAAACAAGCGAGCGCGAACAUUUAGCCAGACCUGGGUCGGACCGUGUUUGUUUUAACACGCGUGGAGCGGCAGCUGGGUGGAGUUUACCACGUCAGAACGGUCACAGGAAGGUAUAUUAGUUGUAUUUUUGUGUGUUUGGUUCAUUUAUUUCCUGCUUGGUGCGCUCCACCCGCCUCAAACUGAACUCCUAAAUUAUUUGCAGCCACCGUUUAACCCACAUCGGCUGAAAAGUUUAGGGGAAAAAAAAAAAAAAACACAUGGAGGCGCAGGUGAAGCGUUCUGAUUGGGCGACACAGAUGUGCAGAUACGACUGGACUUUGGUUUGAGCGUGGCCUGUGGACUGCAUCGGCUCGGUGUGAACUCGUGGUCUGAUCUGAACCCUCACAGACACACUGUCCUGGUUAGCAGCGAGGCUUUACUGUGGCUACAAUAAAGGGAAACGUGACAUCACGUGUGACAUCAGACGCCCCCGCAGUCUCUCUGGAGGAGACGGUCCGACCAUAGAAACUACACCCAGUCACACACAGCGAGGAAAUGGCAUCACUAAACCUCAGAGCGCCGCGGAGAGAGAGGGACUUCCCAUAAUGUGACUCGCCCGCUCUGGCUGCUGUGUGUGUGGUUUCUAUGGUUAUGCCAUCUACACACAGAACGUUAUUCAACACGGCCUACAGAGACUCCUGGUCCGAGUUAUUUAGCCCCGUUUUUCUUGUCCAGAUCAUCCAACCAGCUCCAGUCUCAUGCAGUUAAACCCUAAUUAUUCAAAGCCGAGCCAAAAUUUGAUUUAUGGUGAUAUUUUUAUUUGACCAGUAAGGUUUCUUCUGACUGGAAAUGACAUGAACAAGUGACAAAGACAGUAAAACAUUGUGUUAGGGAUGUUAAUGAUGAGUUUUAACUAUCUUGUGCUGUUUUUUUUAUGCAUUUUUACUAAAAAUACCGUCUUCUCAGUAAUCAAUCUUGAGCACAAACAUGGUUCUAAGAAGCUUUUGCAUGUUUUCACAGGAAUUUUGGACAUUUUGGCCAAAAAGUCAGCAUCUUUGUUCAGUGUCUGAUUGAGAUGCUGUUUCCAGAACUGUUCAGAUUCAGGGACAAUUCUCCUUGGAUUCUACUAUUCUUGCCAGUACAGGAGUCACUUCUGGUUUCCAAGCAACCUCUUUAAGACUUUUGACAGUGUGGAGCUCCUUGUACACUUUGAUUAAGCUUUGCACUGUGGCUACUUCCACUUUAAAACUCUUGAUAAUGACUUUAUAGCUUUUCAUUCCCUUGUGUCAAGUGAUAUAACAAUGUUUUAGAGAUUUUAAUGAUACAUUUUAGCAAUUUCUAUGUUUUUUUUUUUAGAUUUGUACUUGAAAUUGCCUCAAACUUUUGAGAAAAUGCACCUUCAGAUUAUGAUAGAAAUUGAACCAUUUUGAAUGAGAGCAUUGAGCAUUUAAAUGUGCUUUAAGUUGAGAACAACUCAUGCAGUCGUGCUUUGGUCAGUUUUUAAUCAAUUUUAAGUCAUGGCUGAAACCAAAGAACUCAGUUAAGACCUCCAGUUGCACGUUGUGGCUUCUCACAAGACAAGGAAAAGCUUUAAAACGUAUCCAAGUGUUUGUAAGUGCAAGCGGCCACAGUGACAAGCAGAAUUAAAAAGUACAAGAAGUUCCACAAGGGCUUCAGAAAGACAAAAAGUGGCCUCUGCUUUGGAAAAAAUGGUAGAAUCCAACGAUUAACACCAGGAGUAUCCUGAUGAAUCUGAGUCAGGAUCACAAAAGGUCCAAAAUCCUACUGGAGACAUGAAAAAAAGCUGUUUGCUGUGGUGGCAAAAAAAGGCUUUAAAAUUAAGCUUGAAUACAUUUUUUGACUUUAAAAAUGUUAAAUAAUCCACUUAGAAACAAUUAAGCUUCAUUGUGAGCAUCUCAAACACAAUUUUCUUAACAACCUUUGUCACUUUUUUGUGCCGUUUCCAACCAGAAGAAAGCUACAGCUCAAAGAAAAAUGUACUAUAAAUCAAAACUUGUCCUGUUUUUGAAUAGUUUUUAGUCUUUAACUGUAUCGCUGUCUUUAAUUUCAUUCGUUUUCUUCACCAGGCACCAGAAAGUCUCACAUCUAUCCUUCUGAUCUGGAUUUAACCUGAAGAUUUGUUAAACUGUGCCUGCAAAUCCAUUUAGGGGACUUUAAGGACAGAUGUAGCAGUUAGCAAGCGUCUGUUAAAGGAAGUCAACACCUGAACUGUCACACCUGUGCUGCCUUACCUGUCGUGGCUUCAAACUACAAACACAAGAGAACAACUGUUUCCCCGCCAGGUCGAUACUCUCACCCCUCGACUUCACCGAUGCUGUUCUUAUCUUUUGUUUUUUUUCUCCUGUAUUUUUUCAGACAUAUUACUGUUACUCUUGUAAUUAUUAUAUUAUUAACAUUUUUUUGAUUUUGUUGUACCCUCUUGCCAUUGGCCCGGCCUCUUCUCCAUGAAUUCCUGGUUGUUUUUCUGUGAGUUCUUGUUCCAGUUUGCACUCUUUCCUCAUGAACCUUAACUAGUCGGCUUCAGCGCAGUCUCUUUUUGUUGUUUUUUUAAUUUUUAUUUUUAAGCUCACGCUGAUUUUAUAACCAUGUUACUGUGGACAAGAGGAGGGUCACAUGAUUCCCACAUGAUAUACAAGCGAGGGGAAGAAACAAUUGUUUUCUUUUUUUUUGAUGUUGUGUAUAUAUAUAUUUUUUCCAUUUUGGAGGAUUCUGUAAGAAAAGAAGAGCAUUGUACUGUUUAACCAUUGUAUUAUUUGACAUGCGUCCCUUCCUGUCCUCUCAGAGCGUCUUCGUCUCUCCUUUCACCUCGGCGGUGAAGUUUCACUCCAGAGGAGAGACGGAGGCUUUUGUUUUUAUCACGGAGGAUCCACCUGUACUUCUGUUUCCCUUCUAUCUGUUCAUCUUCAUUUGUAAUUAAAUAAUAAUCAGGGUUCAUUAAAAAAGGUUAAAAAUG